GCUCAUCUCAUCUUCAGCUAAAUAAAAAAAUAUGAGUGAUGUUUGAUUAAUCUUUUUUGUUCAUACAGCUUGGCCAUGAUGCCUGCCUGAUUCAAUGCUAGCUGUUGUAUUGAUGCAAUGAAAGGACAAUGACAGUAGUUAGUGAAUAAAAAGUCACAUCAAAGAAUGAUUCCCAAAACAGAUCAGUUGAUGAAUCACAAAUCAUAACAGGAAUCACAAAUCAUUUGAUGAUGAAUCACAAAUCAGAACAGUUGAUGAAUGACAUAAGCUUGGCCAUGAUGCCUGCCUGAUUCAAUGCUAGCUGUUGUAUUGAUGCAAUGAAAGGACAAUGACAGUAGUUAGUGAAUAAAAAGUCACAUCAAAGAAUGAUUCCCAAAACAGAUCAGUUGAUGAAUCACAAAUCAUAACAGGAAUCACAAAUCAUUUGAUGAUGAAUCACAAAUCAGAACAGUUGAUGAAUGACAUAAGCUUGGCCAUGAUGCCUGCCUGAUUCAAUGCUAGCUGUUGUAUUGAUGCAAUGAAAGGACAAUGACAGUAGUUAGUGAAUAAAAAGUCACAUCAAAGAAUGAUUCCCAAAACAGAUCAGUUGAUGUAUCACAAAUCAUAACAGGAAUCACAAAUCAUUUGAUGAUGAAUCACAAAUCAGAACAGUUGAUGAAUGACAUAAGAGCUUGGCUAUGGAUUUUAGAGUCUGGUGUGAAUUCUUGCCAAAUGUGAUGCUAGAUUGCUGUUGCGAUGCUGACGAAUUGCCUAAAGAUGUUGACAAGAGACACAUUCACCCGAUUGAAAUGACAGUAUAUAAACAAAGGUAUGCUGUUUCAGAUAUUUUUUGUUGCCUUUAGGACAUUCUUUUAAUUUUGAGCAAGAUAUUUAUAGAGAGCCAUUAUUAUUUUGCUGCAAAACGUCUUCGAGAAAAAACGUCAGUUUUGUCUUUAUCAAGAAAUGAAAUCAGUCUACGAAAUAAAAUCGAGAAAUAAGUUGUUUCUUCUUUUCAAAACGGAUCCUUUUACAAAUGUUUGAAACAAUUUCCUUUACAAGUCUUGUAGAUGUGAAUUCCAACCCUUUAAUUUUUAAAAUAUACUUACAAGUACUAAAUAAGAGCCUUUUCGAGCAAAAAUGAAAUAUUUGUUUGACUCUAAAAAACGGGUUUUCAAAAAACUAUUUACAUUUCUAUUCCCUACAAACACUAUAGCCAAUAUUUAGUUUUUUUUUUAAAUCCUACUCUUGAUCACAAUUACAGCAUUUUUAUUUUUCAACUUUCAAAAAGGCGGAGAUACUUAAAAGUUUCUAGUAAUAAUUUUACUAAUUAAGCAAACAAACUUACAUUAUUUAUUUUGAUAAAAUUGUUUAUUAUUCAUUUUCAUUAGUCAUUCAUUGAUUAUUCAUUGUCUCUUUAAUUGUUAAUAACAAUUUAUCAAUUUAUAAACAUUUUAUCUUCUCUUAGAAAGUUUCUUAGUUAAUAAUUAGCGUCUUCUUUCAUUGUGUCUACUCUUUAUUGCUCAAUAAUUUUUUGAAUAAUCUUUUCAUUGCUUAAAGUUUUCUCGUCUUAAAAAUCUCUCAAUUAUAGGCUAUCUCUUUUAAUGUUUUUUAACUAUAUUUUUGGAUAUAUAAAGUUUGCAAAAACUUCUCAAUUAUAGGCUAUCUCUUUUAAUGUUUUUUAACUAUAUUUUUGGAUAUAUAAAGUUUGCAAAAACUUCUCAAUUAUAGGCUAUCUCUUUUAAUGUUUUUUAACUAUAUUUUUGGAUAUAUAAAGUUUGCAAAAACUUCUCAAUUAUAGGCUAUCUCUUUUAAUGUUUUUUAACUAUAUUUUUGGAUAUAUAAAGUUUGCAAAAACUUCUCAAUUAAUUCCUAUCUUAACUUAAUAUUUUCUUUUAACUUAGAAUAAUAUCUUUGUUUACUUAUCUUAGUAGGCCUAAGUUGUUGGUAGCUACUUUUGUAGGCCCUUUUUCUAGAUAAAGUAGGUAAUUUUGGUUUUUAAAACAAUAGAGAGAACAAUAGAGAACAAUAGCGAUGAAACAAAAGUUUAAGAUAGGUUUUGCCUACUCCACCCCUAUUGUAGAAUGGGAUCUGGUCCCAUGGGAUUUGUCCAGUUCCUCAGCCCCUUUGUUCCCAUUGUCU